UACGUAGGGCGCAAGCGUUAUCCGGAAUUAUUGGGCGUAAAGAGCUCGUAGGCGGUUUGUCGCGUCUGCCGUGAAAGUCCGGGGCUCAACUCCGGAUCUGCGGUGGGUACGGGCAGACUAGAGUGAUGUAGGGGAGACUGGAAUUCCUGGUGUAGCGGUGAAAUGCGCAGAUAUCAGGAGGAACACCGAGUGGCGAAGGCAGGUCUCUGGGCAUUAACUGACGCUGAGGAGCGAAAGCAUGGGAGCGAACAGG
rnacentral:rRNA from 1 species